rnacentral:rRNA from 1 species
AAGGGCACCACAAGAACGCGUGGAGCAUGUGGCUUAAUUUGACUCAACGCGGUAAAUCUUACCGGGUCCGGACGCACUGAGGAUUGACAGGAGUUUAACUCUUAUAUAAUAUAUAAUUAUUAUUUAUUUAGUAAUUUUAUUUUUAUAUUAAAGUUAUCAAAUAUGCUAGUCCUUUCAUGAUUGUGUGAUAGGUGGUGCAUGGCCGUUCUUAGUUCGUGGAGUGAUCUGUCUGCUUAAUUGCGUUUCAUUAGAGCUUCUGUUUUUAACUGAUUAUUAUGCACUUUUAUAUUGAUUUGAUAUUUAUUUAUCGCUUUAUUUAAGAUUUUUGUGUAAUUAUAUUAGUUUAGGGGGCCGGAAGGCAACGAACGUGACCGCAGCCUCUUGUUGCCUCUUUUAUAAUUUUCAUAUAUUUGUAUAUUGUAUUUUAUUAUAUAAUAUAUAUUUUAUAUUUAAUUUUUUUUUUAUUAUUAUUAUUUAUUAAUAAUAUAAAUUAUUCACAGAGGAUAACUAGAGGGACCGCUAGAAAUAUUGUUAAAACAGAGGAAGGUUGCGGCAAUAACAGGUCUGUGAUGCCCUUAGAUGUUCCGGGCUGCACACGUGCUACAAUGAUUAUUGCAGUGAGCAUCUCAAUUUUAUUAUAACAGCAUUAUUUUUUGUUUUAACGAAUUUAUAAAUUUUAUUUAUUUUUUUAAUAAGUAUUUUAUAUUUUCUAGAUUAAUAUGCGUUACAACCUGCUUCGAAAGUCCAGCAGGUAAUCAAUUCGAAGUAAUGAUUUCCUCCUUUUUAUUUAUAUAUCUUUUUAUAUAUUUAAAAUUGACGCACAUAUUUAUGUCGGUGUUUUUUACGAUUUUUAUUACAAUUUAAGAAUAUUUAUAUUUAUUUAUAUUUAUUUGGUUUUAUAAAUCGGCACUUUUGACAUGUGCUCCAUUUAUUUAUUUUAUGACAAUUCGUGGUGGGGACAGACCAUUGAUAAUUGUUGGUCUCGGUCUCAACUAGGAAUGCCUUGUACUGGUCUUUGGCUCAACAAACCACCAGGAAUAUGUCCCUGCCCUUUGUACACACCGCCCGUCGCUCUUACCGAUGGGCUACUCUGUGAGUUUCAGGGACUGGAUUGAAUUUAUCUUUUUAAAUACGAUCUAUGGAAACUUAGACGAACAGUGUGGUCUAAAGGAAAGAGAAGUCGUAACAAGGCAUCGGUAGGUGAACCU